UCUUCUGAAUUAUGUUUUGAAUGAUAUACUCUCUUGAUGUCAUAAUAAGUUAUGGUUUAUAGAAAAUGUUCAGCUUAUAUGAUAUAUUCAGUUUCAAUGCAAACAUAAUUAGCUUUUAUGUUUUUCUACUAUUUGUAUUUUAUACAUUAUUUUGUCAUUAGUUGCUUUUGUGUUAAGUAAAUGAUAAUUACAGAAUGCCGUCUGAAAUUAAUAAAAAAUACAUAUUUUUCUUCCACCAUUAUAAAGCCAAAUAUUUUGAUAUUCAGGUUUAGAAAUACGUAUAUAUCAUCCAGACUGAUCCACUUGCAUUAGAUAACCGUUUGUUUCUUUAGAGCUAUUAAUUGCAAAGCCAUUUCUCUUGCACUUCAAAAAAAAAAAAAACUAUUUUCCUUGCACGACUUCUCAAACGUGGCUGCUCAUUUGAGUUUAAGAUGCAAUAAUGAUUGUUGGAUCGAAGGUGUCGACGAUGUUCCAUUUCUUUUCAUGGUUUGAUAUUUUUUUUUUUUGUUAUUUGAGGAACAUUUUUAUUUAUUAACUUUAUUCUCAUGUGUGAUUAAUAUAACUGCCAUUUUUUAAGUGUUAUUGUAGAACUAGAUAAUGCUAUUGCACAUUAAAACUAGAUAAUGAUUAUACUGUAUGUUUUCACAUUAAACAUUUGAUAUCUAGGAGAUUUUACUUCUUAUAUAUAUAUAUAUAUAUAUAUAUAUAUAUAUAUGUAUAUAUAUUCGCAAUUUUUUUCCUUUUUAUGCAUAUUCAUAUACGAAGAUCAUUAUAACAUUUUUUUUUAAUAUUCUAGACGUAGCUAUAUUUCUCGAAUGUACAGGAAGAUAAUGUUAUCAAAGCCUCGACUUAUUCUCAUCUUCUCAUCUGUGUAUUUACAAACGUAAAAGUAAUCCAACAUCUUUGUAUUUAUCUUUGUAGAAAGACAUAUUAUUUUUUUG
rnacentral:lncRNA from 1 species